AAAUAACAAUACGGGGCUUAAUGUCUUGUAAUUGGAAUGAUGGGAAUUUAAACCUCUCCCAGAGUAUCAAUUGGAGGGCAAGUCUGGUGCCAGCAGCCGCGGUAAUUCCAGCUCCAAUAGCGUAUAUUAAAAUUGUUGCAGUUAAAAAGCUCGUAGUUGAAUUUCUGCUGCAUUACAUAUCUCUUGUUUGAGUUUGUUUUUGUGGCUUAUUUCGGUUUGAUUUUUUCUUUCCGGAUGAUUACUUUGAGAAAAUUAGAGUGCUCAAAGCAGGCUUUUGCCUUGAAUAGUUUAGCAUGGAAUAAUAAAGUAGGACUUUGGUUCUAUUUUGUUGGUUUUAGGUACCAAAGUAAUGGUUAAUAGGAACAGUUGGGGGCAUUCGUAUUUA
rnacentral:rRNA from 1 species